rnacentral:rRNA from 1 species
ACUCCUACGGGAGGCAGCAGUAAGGAAUAUUGGACAAUGCCCGCAAGGGUGAUCCAGCCAUGCCGCGUGCAGGAAGACGGCCCUAUGGGUUGUAAACUGCUUUUACACCGGAGAAAACCUCCCCUCGUGAGGGGAGCUGAUAGUAUGGUGAGAAUAAGCAUCGGCUAACUUCGUGCCAGCAGCCGCGGUAAGACGAAGGAUGCAAGCGUUAUCCGGAUUCAUUGGGUUUAAAGGGAGCGUAGGUGGCCUUAUAAGUCAGUGGUGAAAUCUUCGAGCUUAACUCGGAAAUUGCCAUUGAUACUGUAGGGCUUGAGUACAGUUGCUGUGGGCGGAAUAUGACAUGUAGUGGUGAAAUACAUAGAGAUGUCAUAGAACACCGAUUGCGAAGGCAGCUCACAAAACUGUAACUGACACUGAGGCUCGAAAGUGCGGGGAUCAAACAGGAUUAGAUACCCUGGUAGU